rnacentral:rRNA from 1 species
UGGGUAGCUAUGUACGGAAUGGAUAAGCGCUGAAAGCAUCUAAGCGCGAAGCCAACUUCAAGAUAAGAUUUCCCACCGCAAGGGUAAGACCCCAGAAAGACUAUCUGGUUGAUAGGUCGAAGGUGUAAGUGCAGCAAUGUAUUUAGCUUAUCGAUACUAAUAGGUCGAGGACUUGACCAAU